rnacentral:misc_RNA from 1 species
UAUGAAGAACGUAGCGAAAUGCGAUAAGUAAUGUGAAUUGCAGAAUUCAGUGAAUCAUCGAGUCUUUGAACGCACAUUGCGCCCCCUGGUAUUCCGGGGGGCAUGCCUGUCCGAGCGUCAUUGCUGCCCUCAAGCACGGCUUGUGUGUUGGGCCCCGUCCUCCGAUCCCGGGGGACGGGCCCGAAAGGCAGCGGCGGCACCGCGUCCGGUCCUCGAGCGUAUGGGGCUUUGUCACCCGCUCUGUAGGCCCGGCCGGCGCUUGCCGAUCAACCCAAAUUUUUAUCCAGGUUGACCUCGGAUCAGGUAGGGAUACCCGCUGAACUUAAGCAUAUCAAUAAGCGGAGGA